AGUUACUAAAAACAAACAAACAAACAUUCCACCAACCUCAGAUGGAAAUACAACCCUGAUUAGUAACAUGAAUCUCCAGGACUGGAUUCCCAGAGCAUUCCACUAGCUGACCGUGCCAAAAAUAUGUCUGUUACUACUCUAGAGUCAAGGUUUUAAAGUCCAGCCACAGCAAGGGAGCUUGGAGAUGAACUCCCUGGCCUCGUCUGAGAUGUCCUGAAAUUCUUCAUCCUCUAAGUCCCACCUGCACGCCAGGAUGUUGUUCAGCGUCUCUGCGUCAUUAUCACCCAGGAAAGGGGACAAACCACUAAGUCUACAAGACACAGGAUCCAGAAUCUGCUUGAUGAACAGGAUGGUGUCGAGCUCCGUCAAGCUGCAGUUCUCAUCAAUGAUGCGGUCGAACAGCUCCCCGCCUUCCACACUACAGAGGGAAGAGGGACGCACUCAGGCCCUACUCCCAGGCCAGUGCAGGCUUUCCUGUAGCCAGCUGAUGCGUGCAUUUCUCUGACUCUUCCAAAAGAUGCAGGAUGAAAUGUAAGCUCAGAUCUUAGCAACACAGCCUAGAUUCAAAGCCACCCUAAGAUAUUCCACCCUGUCACAUCUCAACGGCGAAUCCCAUCAGGAGAUGCACACUGAGAAGCCAUUUUCUUCAUGAACAGAAGCUUUCAUGUGAUUCACACACAUCAGAACCAGAGGGGCAGCGUGCAUGGUUCUGCUGGACACAGAGGGGACACGUACUACUCCA